rnacentral:tRNA from 1 species
GGGCCCGUAGCUUAGUCAGGCAGAGCGCUUGGCUCUUAACCAAGGUGUCGUGGGUUCAACUCCCAUCGGGCCCG